UUGACUUCUGUUAAUAGAAAUUAAUAAAUAGAAACAGCUUUCUAUUUGAUUUGAGUACCACUAUGACCGCAUGGUGCUGCUGCUUUUGUAAUGGUCCUUAGGUUAAAUCAUAGGGUAGAUCAGAUUAGGCUUAAGAAGGAAGAGCAAGGUAACAGGGUUAGAGGAGGCAGCAGGAGAUAAGAACUAGCACAUGGUUGGUUGAUCAUAGCUGAGUGCACAUCCUCUCUUAUAGAAGGAUGGAUAACAUGGUCCAUACGGAUCUAAUCCUAACUUUCCAAACUAAUAAGGUUGUAUACCUUGUUUGAAUGACUAGGGCUGUCUGCCCCCUGACUAGAUGGGCCAUUUAUGCAGUUUAUUGUCUUGGAUCCAUGAGCUUAGCAUCCUUUAUUUAGUUUGCAACAGAAAUCAUCUUUACCCUCCUAAUGAUGGAUAAGUCUGUGUACUAGGGUCCUUGUGGGGCUGCAGCACAUGGUCCUUGUGGCAGUUAGGAGGAUAAAGUCCUGGACCAUCAAGGACUGGCUGUUAGGAUAGAGUUCUGUUCUUGACCAUCAAGGACUGUCAGUUAGCAUCUUAGACUAGCAUCUUAGACUAGCAUCUUAGACUGGCAUCUUAGCAUAUGCCUUGGCUGGCUAGCAGCCUAUAAAUAUGUAUCCCCAACCCCUCAGGUUGGCAUGGCAUUGUGUGAGAAAUAAACCAACGAAAAUUGUCCCAACUCUCCUAGUGUCAUCCACAACUAUCAAUGCUCAGGUUGAAAGGUCUAACAAGUGGUAUCAGAGCCUCGUUAACCUGCACCCUGAGCAUUUCCUGUGAGCAGCCCAAGUCGGUAGCAGCAGCUGCUCCGUCUGCCUCUGUUUACCUUCCUCCCUCCGGACUGUCGAGCAGCAGCUCGUCUUCAUCAGCCUCCUCUUCACGCAACAGCCCCCCUGCAGCGAGCCAUGUCUGCAGGUCGCUCUCAGCACACGGCUACCUCGAGCAUGCGGCGCCGGCAAGAGGCCGAGCGCGCCGUGGCAGAGGAGCGUGAGCGAGCGGCUGUAGCAGCGGCUGCUGCGGCGGCAAGAGUGUUGAGGCUGGCUGCAGCUGAGCUGGCAGCAGCCAGAGCGGAGGUAGAAGCAGCCAGGGCGGAGGUAGAAGCAGCCCGUGAGGCUACGGCUGAUGCCAAGGCACUCCGCGACAGCCCUGGCAGCUCCAGCAGCUCCGCGCCUGCGGACGACGGUGCCGACGCAGAUCGCGCCAAAGUGGCGCAGGAGCGGACGGCGCAGUGGGCAGCCGAGCACGCCCGCGCUCCAGGUGGAGGCGCGCACCGCGACGGCGGCUGCAACGACCAGGACCGCGGCCUCUACGAGGUCCGGACUGUGGUCAUGGAUGUUGGUUCCAGUGUUGGGUGGCCUACCCUCACUAAAACCAACUACGUCGAGUGGGCGGGGAUCAUGAAGGCCAGGCUCCAGGUGCGGCGCAUGUGGGAGGCAGUCCAGGACAGCAACGUCGACCACCUAGAGGAUCGACGGGCGCUGGACGCCCUCAUUGCCGCAGUCCCGCCCGAGAUGCAGUUCUCGCUUUCCAACAAGCGGACUGCCAAGGAGGCUUGGGACGCCAUCGCCGUAGCACGCAUCGGCAGCGACCGUGCUCGCAAGUCCACCCUGCAGGCACUUCGUAAGGAGUGGGAGAACCUGGGCUUCAAGCCAGGUGAGGACGUUGAUGACUUUGCUCUCCGUCUCAACACUCUGCUGCAGAAGAUGGUGAAGUUUGGCGAUGCCACCUACACCGAGGAGAGAGCUGUCGAGAAGCUUUUUCGGUGCAUUCCCGAGAAGUACAAGCAGAUGGCUCGCUCGAUCGAGUCGUUGCUGGACCUCUCCAUGAUGACGAUCGAGGAGGCGAUAGGUCGACUCAAGGUCGUCGACACCGACGAGCCACAGCCCCCCUUGGGGCCCGUCACCACCGGCGGGAAGCUGCUCCUAACUCGGGAGCAGUGGGAUCCCAGCCUUGGUGACAAGAAGAAGGGGGAGCCUUCCUCCUCGACGGGCGGCCGCAAGCGUGGCAAGCAGCGUAAGGCGCGAAGAGGCCCCCCGGGCAGGGCACAAGGACGUGCCGAAGGUGACGCCCGCGGAGGCGCCAAGGACGGCGCCGCUGGCAAGCCCAGGCCGGCACAAGACAACAGUUGCCACAACUGUGGCCGGUUUGGCCAUUGGGCCAAUGAGUGUCGGCAACCACGACAAGGCCAGGCUCACGUCGCACAGGCGAAGGAGGAGGAGACGGCUCUGUUCAUGGCGCAUGCAAGCAUUGAGCUACCCUCGGCGACUCCAGUCGCAAAGGCUUUCAUCCACCUCGAUGAGCCAAAAGCACAUGCUCUUCUCGGCGAUGGCUCCGGGAAGGACAAGGCUACGAGGUGGUGCCUCGACACCGGCGCCACCCACCACAUGACCGGUCGAAGGGAAUUCUUCGCCGAGCUCGACUCCGAUGCGCGAGGCUCCGUCAAGUUCGGGGAUGCCUCCGCUGUGGAGAUAAAGGGCGUCGGCUCCGUCAUCUUCACCACCAAGAUGGGAGAGCACCGGCUGCUCACCGGUGUCUACUACAUCCCCGCGCUAAGGAAUUCCAUCAUCAGCUUGGGACAGCUGGAUGAGAACGGCUCACGCGUGCUGAUUGAGCAUGGGGUCCUACGCAUCUGGGAUCGCCAGCGUCGCCUUCUCGCCAAGGUGCCCAGAGGUGAAAAUCGACUCUACGUCCUUGAUGUGCAGGUGGCACAACCGGUCUGUCUCGCUGUCCGUCGAGACGACGAGGCGUGGCAGUGGCAUGAGCGCUUUGGGCACCUUCACUUUGAGGCCCUGAAGCGUCUAAGUGCCAAGGAGAUGGUGCGAGGCCUGCCAUGCCUCGACCAUGUGGAGCAGUUCUGCGACAUCUGCGUACUGACAAAGCAGAGACGACUCCCCUUUCCCCAACAGGCGAGUUUUCGGGCUAAGGAGAAGCUGGAGCUCGUGCACGGAGACCUGUGCGGCCCGGUGACGCCAGCCACACCAGGAGGUCGACGCUACUUCCUGCUGCUCGUCGACGAUCUCUCCCGCUACAUGUGGGUGAUGAUCCUCGGCAGUAAGGGAGAAGCGGCGGACGCCAUCAGGCGCGCGCAGGUUGGUGUGGAGGCGGAGAGCGGCCGCAAAUUGCGCGUGUUGCGCACUGACAACGGCGGCGAGUUCACGGCGGCUGAAUUCGCGUCGUACUGCGCCGAUGAGGGCAUCCAGCGCCACUACUCCGCGCCGUACAGCCCGCAGCAAAACGGCGUCGUUGAGCGGCGCAACCAGACGGUUGUGGGGAUGGCUCGGGCUCUCCUUAAGCAGAGAGGGAUGCCGGCUGUCUUCUGGGGAGAGGCGGUGCUAACGGCCGUCUACAUCCUCAACCGCUCUCCUACUAAGGCACUCGACGGCAGAACUCCGUACGAGGCCUGGCAUGGGCGGAAGCCGGCGGUCUCUCAUUUGCGGGUCUUUGGCUGCCUUGCGUUCGCCAAGGAGCUCGGCCACAUCGGCAAGCUCGACGACAGGAGCACUCCGGGAGUCUUCAUCGGCUACGCGGAGGGCUCAAAGGCCUACCGCAUCCUCGACCCAAAGACACAACGUGUGCGCACAGCGCGAGACGUCGUGUUCAACGAAGGGCGAGGGUGGCAAUGGGACAAGGCGGUGGACGACGGCUCGACGCCGACGUAUGACGACUUCAUUGUCGAGUACGCUCACUUCAAGGAAGCUGGGGGAGCAAGCAGCUCCUCUUCACCGGGCACGUCUACCCCGGCCCCCAAAACUACAUCGACUCCGGCGCCUGCUACACCGACGACACCACAACCGGCGACGCCGCAUACUCCAGCCCCGGCGGUCGCCACUCCGGGCUCGUCUUCAUCAGCACCAGCUCACGCAGAGCACAACCCGAUGAAGUUUGCUUCCCCGCUCACUCACGACGAGGAGCUGGUCGACGCAUGGUAUGGAGGCGAACCGCUGCGGUACCGUACGAUGGAUAAUGUGCUCGGCGACCAGCCGGUGCCAGGACUGGUGCCACGUGACCUGGAGGCGCAGCUACAGCUCGUGUGUGAAGACGGCGAACCACGGUCCUUUGCAGAGGCCGAGAGAGACGCGGCAUGGCGCGCCGCGAUGAAGUUGGAGAUGGAUGCGGUCGAGCAAAACCGCACCUGGGAGCUUGCUGAUCUCCCUCGAGGUCACCGCGCAAUCACCCUUAAGUGGAUGUUCAAGCUGAAGAGGGAUGGAGCCGGCGCCAUCAUCAAGCACAAGGCUCGUUUGGUGGCCCGAGGCUUCUUGCAGCAGGAAGGAGUCGACUUUGACCACGCUUCCGCUUUCGCUCCCGUGGCACGGAUGGAGUCCGUGCGACUUCUCCUUGUGCUGGCUGCCCAGGAGGGCUGGCGUGUCCACCACAUGGACGUUAAGUCGGCAUUCCUCAAUGGCGACUUGAAGGAGGAAGUCUACGUGCAUCAGCCACCGGGGUUUAUGAUUCCCGGCCAGGAGGGCAAGGUGCUCCGCCUGCGCAAGGCUCUCUAUGGCCUGCGGCAGGCACCCAGGGCGUGGAACGCCAAGCUGGACUCCACGCUGAAGAAGACGGGUUUCGAGCAGAGCCCGCAUGAGGCUGCCGUCUACCGACGGGGGAGUGGAGGAAAUGCCCUGCUGGUGGGCGUCUACGUUGACGUCCUGGUGAUCACCGGCACCAAAGAUGCAGAGGUGGCGGCGUUCAAGGAAGACAUGAAGGCCACGUUCCAGAUGAGUGACCUGGGGCUCCUCUCCUUCUAUCUAGGGAUUGAGGUGCACCAGGACCACUCCGGGAUCGCGCUUCGAUAGUCCGCCUACGCCAAGCGCAUCGUUGAGCUAGCUGGGCUCACCGACUGCCAUCCAGCUCUCACUCCGAUGGAGGAGAGGCUGAAACUAAGUCGCGACAGCACGACGGAGGAAGUGGAUGCUACGCAGUACCGACGCCUUGUGGGGAGCCUUCGCUACCUCACUCACACACGGCCGGACUUGGCAUUCUCCGUCGGCUAUGUCAGUCGGUUCAUGGAGCGACCAACGUCGGAACACCAGCAGGCAGUGAAGAGGAUCGUCCGCUACAUAGCAGGGACCCUCGACCACGACCUCCAUUACCCUAGGUGCCCUGAGUCCGUGCGACUUCUCCUUGCGCUGGCUGCCCAGGAGGGCUGGCGUGUCCACCACAUGGACGUUAAGUCGGCAUUCCUCAAUGGCGACUUGAAGGAGGAAGUCUACGUGCAUCAGCCACCGGGGUUUACGAUUCCCGGCCAGGAGGGCAAGGUGCGACCUGGGGCUCCUCUCCUUCUAUCUAGGGAUUGAGGUGCACCAGGACCACUCCGGGAUCGCGCUUCGACAGUCCGCCUACGCCAAGCGCAUCGUUGAGCUAGCUGGGCUCACCGACUGCCAUCCAGCUCUCACUCCGAUGGAGGAGAGGCUGAAACUAAGUCGCGACAGCACGACGGAGGAAGUGGAUGCUACGCAGUACCGACGCCUUGUGGGGAGCCUUCACUACCUCACUCACACACGGCCGGACUUGGCAUUCUCCGUCGGCUAUGUCAGUCGGUUCAUGGAGCGACCAACGUCGGAACACCAACAGGCAGUGAAGAGGAUCGUCCGCUACAUAGCAGGGACCCUCGACCACGGCCUCCAUUACCCUAGGUGCCUUGGGGCGGCACACUUCGUCGGGUACAGCGACAGCGACCACGCCGGCGACAUCGACACCAGCAAGAGCACGAGCGGGAUCCUCCUCUUCCUCGGCAAGUGUCUCGUGAGCUGGCAAUCAGUCAAGCAGCAGGUGGUGGCCCUGUCCAGCUGUGAGGCUGAGUACAUAGCGGCCUCCACCGCCUGUACUCAGGCACUCUGGCUUGCUCGACUGCUUGGUGAUCUUCUCGUUCAAGACACCAGAACGGUGCAGCUCCUGGUGGACAACAAGUCCGCCCUGGCCCUGGCAAAGAACCUCGUGUUCCACGAACGGAGCAAGCACAUCCGACUGAGGUAUCACUUCAUCCGCAGCUGUGUGGAAGAAGGGAGCAUCGAGGCGAGCUACAUCAACACCAAGGAUCAGCUCGCAGACCUGCUCACCAAGCCCCUUGGGAGGGUCAAGUUCCUCGAACUUUGCUCCAGGAUUGGGAUGAUUCAACUCUCCCACAAGACGACGUACAAGACUUAGGGGGAGAAUGAUGAAUAAGUCUGUGUACUAGGGUCCUUGUGGGGCUGCAGCACAUGGUCCUUGUGGCAGUUAGGAGGAUAAAGUCCUGGACCAUCAAGGACUGGCUGUUAGGAUAGAGUUCUGUUCUUGACCAUCAAGGACUGUCAGUUAGCAUCUUAGACUAGCAUCUUAGACUGGCAUCUUAGCAGCAUCUUAGCAUAUGCCUUGGCUGGCUAGCAGCCUAUAAAUAUGUAUCCCCAACCCCUCAGGUUGGCAUGGCAUUGUGUGAGAAAUAAACCAACGAAAAUUGUCCCAACUCUCCUAGUGUCAUCCACAACUAUCAAUGCUCAGGCUGAAAGGUCUAACACCUAACUUAGGAAGAAAUUUUAUUGACUCCAUUUGCAUCUUCCUCUAAAAUGGCUCCUAUGUUUGCUAAACCAGUGACUCAUUGUCUCUCUCCACCCCCCCUUUGCGGGCAAGAUAAAAGCACACAGUAUCAGAAUUCACAGGAGAUUUUAAUCUCUCAAAUAAUCUGAUCUUUCCUUUCUUUUGAC
rnacentral:lncRNA from 1 species